AACGAACGCUGGCGGCAGGCCUAACACAUGCAAGUCGAGCGAGGACUUCGGUUCUAGCGGCGGACGGGUGAGUAACGCGUGGGAAUGUGCCCUUCUCUACGGAAUAGCCCUGGGAAACUGGGAGUAAUACCGUAUACGCCCUUUUGGGGAAAGAUUUAUCGGAGAAGGAUCAGCCCGCGUUGGAUUAGGUAGUUGGUGGGGUAAUGGCCUACCAAGCCGACGAUCCAUAGCUGGUUUGAGAGGAUGAUCAGCCACACUGGGACUGAGACACGGCCCAGACUCCUACGGGAGGCAGCAGUGGGGAAUCUUAGACAAUGGGGGCAACCCUGAUCGAGCCAUGCCGCGUGAGUGAUGAAGGCCUUAGGGUUAUAAAGCUCUUUCAGCUGGGAAGAUAAUGACGGUACCAGCAGAAGAAGCCCCGGCUAACUCCGUG
rnacentral:rRNA from 1 species